GGGCAACCCUGAUCCAGCCAUGCCGCGUGAGUGAAGAAGGCCUUCGGGUUGUAAAGCUCUUUCGGCCGGGAAGAAAUCGUGCAGGCUAAUACCCUGUAUGGAUGACGGAACCGGAAUAAGAAGCACCGGCUAACUUCGUGCCAGCAGCCGCGGUAAUACGAAGGGGGCUAGCGUUGUUCGGAAUCACUGGGCGUAAAGCGCACGUAGGCGGACUUUUAAGUCAGGGGUGAAAUCCCGGGGCUCAACCUCGGAACUGCCGUUGAUACUGGAAGUCUGGAGUCCGAGAGAGGUGAGUGGAACUCCGAGUGUAGAGGUGAAAUUCGUAGAUAUUCGGAAGAACACCAGUGGCGAAGGCGGCUCACUGGCUCGGUACUGACGCUGAGGUGCGAAAGCGUGGGGAGCAAACA
rnacentral:rRNA from 1 species